ACAAAGGCUCUUCUAAGAGCCACCCACCCACUCCCUAUAAGAUCUGU
rfam:Xenopus tropicalis strain Nigerian Chr09_contig_81, whole genome shotgun sequence.